rnacentral:rRNA from 1 species
GCUUAGCCCUAAACUUAGACAACUUAAACACAUUGUUGUCCGCCAGAGAACUACAAGCGAAAAACUAGAAACUCCAAGGACUUGGCGGUGCUCCAUAUCAAUCUAGAGGAGCCUGUCCUAUAAUCGAUACCCCACGUUAGACCUUACCACCUUUUGCCAUUCAGCCUAUAUACCGCCGUCGUCAGCCUACCUUAUGAGAGAAAAAUAGUAAGCGAGACAGUUAACAACUAACACGUCAGGUCAAGGUGUAGCACAUAGGGUGGAAGAGAUGGGCUACAUUUUCUACCACAGAACACACGAAUGACACAAUGAAACACGUGCCUAAAGGUGGAUUUAGUAGUAAGAUAGAAAAGCAACACUACCUUAAACUCGCUCUGGAG